UGCAAAAUCAGUAUAUUAAUAAGAAAAAUCUGGCUUCAUAAGUGCCAAACAGGAUGAUCCAUCUCCAAAUUCAGCGACACCCGAAGCUAGACUGGUAGAGUGCUGCUACUCAUAACAUAAACCAACAUUAUAUCAUCUUUGUUAAGGUGAAGACAGAAGUUACAGUCAAAGAGCAAUCGAGUUCCGCACGGCUGGAACAAGCUGUCAACAUGGUUGUGUUACCUGCUGCUGGCGGGGAAUACUCGUGGCUAUGCCAUCAAUGGUCCGGUUGGUGGGUAUCGAGUGCGCAAAAGCCACCCAUCGAAGCGAGAUCAUAUAGAGAGAGCAGGGAGAAGAAGAGAGACCCGCACAGCAUCUUGCUAUGGGGUGUCGUUCUUUGCUAUUGACAUUGCGGAGCUCGGUCCAAAUGAAUCGUUGUCAUAAGGCUCGUUUGAUGUGCAAGGUCCUAGAGUGAAAAGAGCAGACUAUUGGAUGCGAAGAAUCCUUUUUCUUCUUGAAGGUAAUACGUGAUCUUCUUUUUGAAGAUAACAGAGCAGGAUAAUUAAUGGCAUCAAACGCCGGAAUCCUUUAAUUUGAGAAAUUAAUCAAACUCAUCAUGACUCGCAAUUCCUAACGGAUACAAAGCCCCCAGACUAAAGUGAACGAGGAAUAAAGAUUUAACUGGAAUAUAUCAACCCGCGGAUUUUCU
rnacentral:lncRNA from 1 species